rnacentral:rRNA from 1 species
CCUACGGGGGGCUGCAGUGAGGAAUAUUGGUCAAUGGACGAGAGUCUGAACCAGCCAAGUAGCGUGAAGGAUGACUGCCCUAUGGGUUGUAAACUUCUUGUAUAUGGGAAUAAAAUGUUCAACGUGGGGGAUUUUGGAUGUACCAUAUGAAUAAGGAUCGGCUAACUCCGGGCCAGCAGCAGCGGUAAUACGGAGGAUCCGAGCGUUAUCCGGAUUUAUUGGGUUUAAAGGGACCGUAGGUUGUUUGUUAAGUCAGUUGUGAAAGUUUGCGGCUCAACCGUAAAAUUGCAGUUGAAACUGGCAGUCUUGAGUACAGUAGAGGUGGGCGGAAUACGUGGUGUAGCGGUGAAAUGCUUAGAUAUCACGAAGAACUCCGAUUGCGAAGGCAGCUCACUGGACUGCAACUGACACUGAGGCUCGAAAGUGUGGGUAUCAAACAGGAUUAGAUACCCUUGUAGUC